rnacentral:tRNA from 1 species
GUCCCGGUGGGGUAGUGGACAUCCUAGAAGCCUGCGGAGCUUUCGACCCGGGUUCAAGUCCCGGCCGGGGCG